rnacentral:rRNA from 1 species
UGGAAUUUGCGGCUGCUAUACAUGCAGUCGAACGCUUUGUGGUUCAACUGAUUUGAAGAGCUUGCUCAGAUAUGACGAUGGACAUUGCAAAGAGUGGCGAACGGGUGAGUAACACGUGGGAAACCUACCUCUUAGCAGGGGAUAACAUUUGGAAACAGAUGCUAAUACCGUAUAACAAUGACAACCGCAUGGUUGUUAUUUAAAAGAUGGUUCUGCUAUCACUAAGAGAUGGUCCCGCGGUGCAUUAGCUAGUUGGUAAGGUAAUGGCUUACCAAGGCGAUGAUGCAUAGCCGAGUUGAGAGACUGAUCGGCCACAAUGGGACUGAGACACGGCCCAUACUCCUACGGGAGGCAGCAGUAGGGAAUCUUCCACAAUGGGCGAAAGCCUGAUGGAGCAACGCCGCGUGUGUGAUGAAGGGUUUCGGCUCGUAAAACACUGUUGUAAGAGAAGAAUGACAUUGAGAGUAACUGUUCAAUGUGUGACGGUAUCUUACCAGAAAGGAACGGCUAAAUACGUGCCAGCAGCCGCGGUAAUACGUAUGUUCCAAGCGUUAUCCGGAUUUAUUGGGCGUAAAGCGAGCGCAGACGGUUAUUUAAGUCUGAAGUGAAAGCCCUCAGCUCAACUGAGGAAUUGCUUUGGAAACUGGAUGACUUGAGUGCAGUAGAGGAAAGUGGAACUCCAUGUGUAGCGGUGAAAUGCGUAGAUAUAUGGAAGAACACCAGUGGCGAAGGCGGCUUUCUGGACUGUAACUGACGUUGAGGCUCGAAAGUGUGGGUAGCAAACAGGAUUAGAUACCCUGGUAGUCCACACCGUAAACGAUGAGUGCUAGGUGUUUGAGGGUUUCCGCCCUUAAGUGCCGCAGCUAACGCAUUAAGCACUCCGCCUGGGGAGUACGACCGCAAGGUUGAAACUCAAAGGAAUUGACGGGGACCCGCACAAGCGGUGGAGCAUGUGGUUUAAUUCGAAGCAACGCGAGAACCUUACCAGGUCUUGACAUCCCUUGACACUCAGAGAUGGAGUGUUCCCUUCGGGACAGUGACAGUGUGCAUGUGUCGUCAGCUCGUGUCGUGAGAUGUUGGUUAGUCCCGCACGAGCGCCACCCUAU